ACAGAGAGAGAGAGAGAGAGACUAAAACACAUGUUGUGUAUGUUCCGGUUGGGUUGAGACGGAUGUGGACCUGAUCCUCAGACCCCAACCUCAAUCAAGAGGGGCUAAAGUGGGAACGGACGCAGACCGCUGGGGAGAGGAUGCAUUACAUUGCGCUACACCAGGGAGGGGUGGUGUGGUGUCAUGUCGGGGAACAGACGUCUGGAGGCGUCAGCGGCCACCUACGUGCAGGCCGGAGAUCGCUGGAUCACCACGACAAGGACGUUUCACCAGCGCGUACCUCAGGCAACCGUUGCGCCUGACUCGUUCAUUUGUGUGUUACAAAUUCCUUAAUUAUGUGUUGCCUUGUCUCUUAUGUGCCUACUACUUUGAACUAACAUUAAUAAACAAUUGAAAA